rnacentral:rRNA from 1 species
GAUAAACGCUGGCGGCGUGCCUAAUACAUGCAAGUCGAACGGAGGUUUGUAGCAAUACGGACCUUAGUGGCGAAUGGGUGAGUAACGCGUUGGUGACCUGCCCCAAAGAGGGGGAUAACAGUUCGAAAGGACUGUUAAUACCCCAUGUGGUUACAGGGUUUAGAAGCCUGUAACUAAAGGAGCAAUCCGCUUCGGGAGGGACCUGCGUCCCAUCAGCUAGUUGGUAGGGUAACGGCCUACCAAGGCUACGACGGGUAGGGGGCCUGAGAGGGUGGCCCCCCACACUGGCACUGAAACACGGGCCAGACACCUACGGGAGGCAG